UUUGGCUUAGAUAUUUGAUAUUUGCGAGGGGGAACACACGCAGUGAAGGGACAAAAACACUAGGAGGAGCAGAUAUGAGGAUACUAGGGUCAAGUUGCGGUGAGGUCCGAAGCCAAUUGCUCCAGCAAUCACGACAGCCACCAGUACCAUUCCUCCAUUGUCAAUUAACUGCUGUGAGCCCCCGUGGCUUCUCAAAUUUGAAGCGCCGAUUUCAGACACCUCUUCCAACUUCACUUCUCUCUCUAACCACCACCACCACCACCCCCAAAUUGCCCCUUAAACCCUUAUCUACCACCACCCGCUCACUCCCCGAUGACGCUGCUUACGGUUCGGCAACAAAGGUUGCAGAUGUUGAUCUUGCUUUAGCAGUCAAGAACAAGGCCAUAGAUAUUUCCCCUGAUCUAAAAGGAACUUCAAUAUUUCUUGUUGGGAUAAACGGUGCCAUGAAAACUAGUAUGGGGAAACUUCUGGCUGAUACAUUGCGAUAUUACUACUUUGACAGUGAUAAUUUGGUUGAGGAAGCUGCAGGUGGUGGAUCUGCUGGCAAAUCUUUUAGAGAGAGAGAUAAGGAAGGAUUUUCUGAAUGGGAGAUUGAAGUAUUGAAGCAGUUAUCAUCCAUGGGUCGCUUGGUUGUUUGUGCUGGAAAUGGUGCAGUUCAGAGCACAACUAAUCUGGCAUUAUUGAGACACGGGCUUUCUAUAUGGAUUGAUGUCCCUCUAGACAUGAUAGCCAGGGAUGCCAUAGAAAAUGGGAGUCAACUUUCUGAAUCAGAAAUAUUUAGUUUUGGAUCUUAUUCUGAGCUUGUUGUUUUGUAUGAAGAGCUGAAAGGCGGAUAUGCUACAGCGGAUACGACUGUUUCUCUUCACAAGGUGGCUUCCCAGUUAGGUUAUGAUGUCUUGGAUGCUGUAACCAAAGAAGACAUGGCUUUGGAGGUUCUCAUAGAGAUAGAAAAACUGGUUAGAGUAAAGCAGAUGAUGGAAGAGGCUGCUAGGCCAUUUUAGCUUUCGAGGGCCAUGCUUUCAUAUCUUGUAACAACUUUUGGCUACGUGCAACAGAACCACGUGCAAUCUCAACCGAUUGCCCAGCCAACCAAAGCCCGCCAUCUCUUCCUCCUAGAAUUUUAUUGUGUUUCGGUGGAUCAAAUUUGCAAUCAAACGAUUCUCUCUCUCGCUGUGCUCCCAAUGAACCCAAGCACAAAAUAAAUUAUCCGGCCAACAACGCUGCCUGUUGAGCAAAGAUUUAUAUGUUUGAUUCACAAACAUGGCCUGCUUGUCUUGUUUCAACAGAGAUUCCAAGUUUUGCGAACUAUUUGGACCUUUAUAUUGGCAAAGCGGUGCUUCAAUGUGGUUUGCAUCAGAAUAGCUGGUUGCUAUUUUUUGGUAGUACAAAACAAAUUCUUGGCAAAGGAGCUUUUCAAGACAGUGUGUCAACCUCAUUUCCUCAUAUUGUUUUGAACUUUUGUUGUGUGUGAUAUUUUCCUAACUUAAAAAAAAAUUAUUUUGGUCUGUUCUUUGUGUAGUUUUAGAGCAUUUGAUGACUAUGAAGGGAUUGAAUUACAGUGGAAUCAAGUGAAAAGAUCUAUAGAGGAAUCAUUCUUCAACAGUUAACAAUUGGAGGUAGAGAACUCAAUGCUUGAGAGACGAGGCAUUGCUUAUGAUACAGUUUUGUUAUAUAACAGCCGGUAGUGGCCACAAGAGACAUGGUUCAUUCUUGACAUUCUCUAAUAUGAGUUGUUUGGGUCAAAAAAUCUAAAGAAAGAGAUAAUGGCAUUUCUACCAAUCAUUGCUUCAAUCACUCGGUCAUCUCCCUUCUAUUCAAAAGUGGAAGUUUGAAGAGGUAAUGAUGAUGAAAAGGUGGCAAUAGGGCUGCUUGAUGAUUUGAAAGGUUUGUCACAAUUUGUAUAAUUCUCAGCAUCAGCAUUUGAGGCAGUCUGCAGCUAGACCUGCUGGAGGUGUUUCAGUUACUUCUGGUAACUCUGGAUCGGCCAUUUCGAGUUAAACACGAAUUCGACGGACUCAAGAUCUUCAUGACUGCUUUGUCGAGUGUGUAAAUCACCUCGGUCGAGCAGAAAGCAACACCAAAGGCGAUACUGAAGCUAAUGGACUCAGAGGGGUUGACCAUCUUUCAUGUGAAAGGCCAUUUGCAGAAAUAUCGAAUUGCAAAGUACAUGCCAGAUUCUGCAGAAGGAAAAUCUGAGAGGAAGAAUAACAUGAAUGAUGCAGCACAGAUUGAUAUAAAAGCGUAACGGGACUGACAUGGGGCAUGUGGGAUGCAACUAUCUUCAGUAUACAUCAAAAAGUUAUCCUUGGGGCUGAUGUGUUAUAUGAUACAAGUGGAUCUGUUUUCAUAACAACCUAUCACAAUAGAAGCGAGCAUCAUCUAAUUGAGUUCUUGAUGGCGAAGUGAGGGUUGAAGUGCACGAAACUUCUUGAUGGGUUUUUAUUUAUGCCAUCAUACAAGGCAUCUAGGUUGGCAGAAAUUGUUUUGAAUAGUGAAGAGGUGAGGUAACAUAUGCCAAAAAUUAGCACUAAAAGUUGAAUGGUGACACAGCCUCUCUGAUUUUUAACCUUGUUCCAUAGAGAUAUGUCAAUUAGUUCAAAUUGUAUUUUUGGUGUAUGUCAUAUUGGUUUUGAAUUGGAAUUUAUUUGCCGUAUUUUUUUUUGGGGUUAGAUUUGAGGUUUUUAUGUUAUUUGAUUGCCCGUGAAGAUAUUGUCCAUGUUUUUUGGAUU